GACAUCUUACAGCUGUAGCAAUCAUGCGUCCCAAUAUUUUUGUCCAUAUAGUUUAUAAACAAUAUUUCCUUUGAGUUUAAUAGGAAAUUUUUCUUCCUAAGGGAGAUGUGAAGAAAG